rnacentral:rRNA from 1 species
UGGGGAAUAUUGCACAAUGGGGGGAACCCUGAUGCAGCAACGCCGUGUGAAGGAAGAAGUGUUUCGGCACGUAAACUUCUAUCGACAGGGAAGAAAGAGAUGACGGUACCUGAAUAAGAAGCACCGGCUAAAUACGUGCCAGCAGCCGCGGUAAUACGUAUGGUGCAAGCGUUAUCCGGAAUUACUGGGUGUAAAGGGUGAGUAGGCGGUUAUAUAAGUCAUAUGUGAAAGACUGAGGCUCAACCACAGAGUUGCAUAAGAAACUGUAUAACUAGAGUGCAGGAGAGGUAAGCGGAAUUCCUAGUGUAGCGGUGGAAUGCGUAGAUAUUAGGAAGAACACCGGUGGCGAAGGCGGCUUACUGGACUGAAACUGACGCUGAGUCACGAAAGCGUGGGGAGCGAACAG